GGAAAUGAUGUUUCCAACCAUUUCCUUCACUUCACCUCUGUAUCAUUAAUUUUUUUUUUUUAAUUCCACAAUUUUCCACCUCCUGCCAUUUCUCUUGGUCUUGUUCCUCUACCUUCUCUGUGAAGCCCUUGUCAAGGCCAUCUUGGACCCACAACUAGAGUGGGAAGCCAAGGAUGAAGGGGCAGCAAAAGGCCCUGGAGCAAAUGUUCAAGCACAGAGCCAUGCACACUAGGCCACGAACUUCCCGUCACACAUGCUCUGGAGGAAGAGGAAAUGCUUGACGCAUCAUCGCUCAGAUUGCCUUGGUGGAAACUGCUUUCGAUGGUUCACGUCUAGCAGUGUAACUCGAUGACUCACAAAACAGCCUUUAUUCAUUGACGUGUUCUUCAGAGGACUCCAUGAAAUGACUCACACCUCUAUUUACUAGGUUUUAUUGGGAAUGUGAGGUGAAAUCUUUUCCCCUGGGAACAGGAAGUUUUCAGUGUUUCUUAGAAGAGGACGUGGGGACCUGAUAGCAACACACAUGUUGUUGAUGGGCGGACUUUCUCUAUCAGGGAGGCUCAGCUGGAGCAACAGAGCAGCAUUUCUGGAGGAGGGCAUAUCAGUUUUGACACCUGUUUUCAGAAUCAUCCACAGAAGGUAAGGCUGGACGAAAUGUUUCCUGUUGUGAAUAUUUAGAAGAGAGUCUGAGAAUCAGAAAGUAUUUUACGGAGCAUUGAUGAAAGGUUCAACAACUGUGUCUUGUGACGGCAGUCAUUGAUUUUUUUCCUAUUGGGAAUAUGAGGGUAUCCACAGUCAACGGGAAACGAGGGGAGGCCCAGUCAACCCCAGCACCCCAAGGAUGAUUGCUUGCUCACGGGAACUGAGCAGACUAUGAACUCAAUAGCCAUAGACUUUGGACUCCCAGACAGGUGUGACAAGCAACAGCCGGGCAGAUGAGGGACUUUACACCAGAGGCCAGCAGAUACCACAAAGCAGAUGCCUUCAUGCCUGCAGGAGCCCAGGGGCCCUCUCUUCCUCAACGGCCACAGAACGAAACAGCCACACUCCCCAUCCCCCAACAUCAGAUGCCAUCUUAGGGAAAGAAGCCAGAGGGAGGCAAGGCCAUCUGAGAGAGUGAGCGAUUAUACAAGAGAAGCAAUUAGAAUCAUCAAGUGAUUACACGAGUAAAAAUCAUCAAGUGAUUUACACAAGUGAUUAUAAAAGAGAAAUAAUUGAGGCCGGGCAUGGGGGCUCAUGCCUGUGAUCCCAGCACUUUGGGAGGCCGAGGUGGGCAGAUCACCUGAGGUCAGGAGUUUGAGACCAGCCUGAUCAACAUGGUGAAACCUUGUGUCUACUAAAAAUACAAAAUUAGCCUGGUGCAGUGCUGCAUGCCUGUAAUCCCAGCUACUUGAAAGGCUGAGGCAGGAGAAUCGCUUGAACCCAGGAGGCAGAGGUUGCGGUGAGCUGAGAUUGCUCCAUUGCACUCCAACCUGGGCAACAGGAGCAAAACUCCGUCUCAAAAAAAAUAAAUACAUAAAAAUAAAAUAAAAGAGAAAUAAUUUAAAUUUUGGAGUGGGGUAAGCUUUAACCUGGAUGAGCCAUUUCAUGAAAAUGUUCCCAGUAGCCAAUGGAUGGGGACAGAGAAAAAUAAAAAUGAUCCAGUUAUUUAUAGACCAAAUUAAAUCAUGGUGGGUUAAUCUAUAUGUCAAAUGGUACCUGCAUGAAUUGGCAACCCUGCUGCACAAUUGGUUACGUAACACUUGUUACACAUCAGAUCCUAUCCCAGAAGUGGGGGACAAAUUCCAGUUUAAGACAGAGGCAGCUGGGAAACAAUUACUAUAGCACUCUUGGUCAGCUCUGUGUUGGGGGAAUGCCUCAGAAGCCCAGGGGCCCAGAAGAAGGUUAUUUAAUUCAGAAUACAGGCUCAGAGAAGGCUUCCUGGGAGUUGGGACCUGAGCUGAAUUUGGAAGGACAAGCAGGUGUUACCUAUUUGGAAGGACAAGCAGGUGUUACCUAGAACUUAGAUUCUAAAUGAACAAACAGAGGAAGCACUUCCAAGGCCAGAACAGCAGUGGGGAGGCACAGAGGUGAGAAGCCCGUGAUGAGGUCAGGGGAGGGAGAGGAGCCUACACACCUGGGUGUGCAGAAGAACCAAGAGAUGAGGCCAGAGGGAUAAGCGGGGGUCAAUCAGGAAAAGACUUGGGAGGUGAGCUAAGAUGUUUGAAUUUUGUUUUGAAGCUUUGAAGAAUUAUUGAAAGUAGUGGGCACCUGUGAUCCCAGCUACUCAGGAGGCUGAGGCAGAAGAAUCAUUUAAGCCCAGGAGGCAGAGGUUACAGUGAGCCAAGAUUGUGCCACUGCACUCCAGCCUGGGCAACAGAGGGAGGCUCUGUCUCAAAAAAAUAAAUAAUUAUCAAAGAUUCUAACUAGGGGUAGCACAGAAGCAGAUUCUCAUGGGAAAAAGGUAGUUAAAGUGGGAGGGUGGAGGAUGAGUGAAGGGGGGCAGGGGAAGGGGGACCAGUGAGGCAACGAUGGUAGAAAUGAUGACAAACCGUGAAGGUCUGAACCCAGAUGGUGGUGUUGCAAGUAAGAAGCAGGAUUUGGGUUGAAGACAUAGCUGAGAGACAGAAUCUACAGGAUCUGAUAACUAAUCAGAUGUGGGAGGUGAAUGAGAGGGGCAGAGGGGCUUCCAGAGUUCUGGCUGGAUGGUAGCGCCAGGGCAAGUGCCUUGCUCCAAGGGGAAUACCAGGGCCACAGUGUUCGGGGGCAAAAAGGAGGCAUUGGGCUUGGGGUGCGAUUGAUGAUGUGGUACCUGACAGCCAGUAAUUCAGAAUGUCUCCAAAAAGUAAAAUGAAAACUUGGACUUCUCCUUGCACUUGUCACUUGGGCAGUUAUUGGAGACCUUCAUAAGAGCAGGUUCAGUGGGGUGACAGGGAUAAAAGCCAAUUUGCAGUGAAUGAGAAAGUGAAGUUACUCUCUUCUCCUGAUGCCUUAUUCUUCCUGGGGGGCCGCUGUCUUGCUGAAGGGCCCCCUUGGAAACCAGAGGGCAUCACGGACUCCUCCCUCUUUCCACAUGAUGUACUUGGCCAGUUUUUGAGUUCUGUUGAUCCCUUUCCCUUAGGAUCUCUUGAUGCCAUUCCCUGUUCUCCACACUCCCUCCCGCCUUAAUCCAGUCUUUCCAAGAUUUGCUGCCUAACUUUAAACAAAACUGAGGAAUAUUUUUUAAAAACACAAAUCAGGAUGAAGUUUCACUUAUAAAGUUCUUCAUGACCAAGUCCCCAAGAUUCCUCUCCACCCCCCAAUGCCUCCCAUUCUAGCUCUGCUCCCCAAAGCCCUCUGCUCUGCCUGGACUGAGACCCCAGGGAUCCCCCCUCCCUUCAGCUCUCAGCUCCCUGUGCUCAUCGCUAGCAUGGUACCCCAUGGUCAGCACUGCCACCUGUUCGUCCUUGCUCUCCCCACCCCACCGCCAGCUCUUUGAAGAUGGGGACCCCACUGUGUUCAUCUUUUGUGUCCACAGCCGCCAGUAAAGUAGCCAGCAUGGAUGUACAAACUCAAUACGUGUAUGCUGAAUAAAGAAAUGAACAAGUUGUCAGUUCUCCAAGAGACUUGAUUAUGAGGGGGUUUAUGAUUCAAAGUGAUGUCUUUUUUUUUUUUUAAGAUGGGAGAAACUGAGGUUUAGAUGCUGAGAGGAGUGAGCCAGCAGAGACAGAGAGAGGUUGAAAUACAGGAGAGAGGAGGAUUACGUGGAGCCAUGCCCCUGAGCAUGCGGGGUGGGAUGAGAAGGGGGUGGGAGCUGGAAGGCACAGGAAGCAGGGACCUGGGGGUGGGGAGAUGCCAAUUCCAUGGGGCAAAGGUGGGCUUAGAAGCAGAAAUGUUCCCAUGUGCUUGAAAACGAAGUUGAGGGCUUUUUCUCCUGAUGGCCUCUAUCUGCUCAGCAAUGAGGAGGCAAAGUGUGAGAGUGAAUGGGAUUGGGCUAGGGCAGAGGGUUAGCAGAAAAGUGAAAGUUUGGAAGAACCACUAGGCGGGAUGAGUUGGUCAUGCUGUGGUGACAACGCCAAAUCUCAGUGACAUGACACACGACCCACACUCAUUCUCACUCUACUUAGAAGUCCAGUGCAGCUGGACAUCAAUGAUCUGAUUCUUAGAAUUUCUCAAGGGCCCAGGCUGGCUUCAUCAUUUUUGGGAAAAUGCAGUGCCCCACCUUGCGGCUGGGAUGCCAGUCUCCCUUCCCGCAGGUUCUGCUGCACCCACCCAUAGCCGAUGGCCGGCCUCCGAGGGGCUGCCAUCUCCACACUGGAAUGCACUUGGUACCCAGAUUGGGGUGGGCAUAAGGCCCUGUUUUAGCUUCCCACUGAGUGUGUCGGGGGGUUGACACCUGCUGCCUUGCUCUGCCCUGAGAUGCUGCAAGCCGUAUGCCCAACUGCUGUGGCUUGAAUGUUUUUGUCCCCUUCAAAAUUCUUGUGUUGAAAACUUAAUCCCCAAUGCAACAGUGUGGGAGGUGAGGCCUUUUGGGAGGUGCUUUGGUCACUGGGGCUCUGCCCUCAUGAGUGGAAUCUUGCUUGCCAUUGCAAAAAGGGCUUGUGAGAGUGGGUUCACUCUCUCUUGCCCUUUCGUCUUCUGCCUUCUGCCACAUGUGGAUCAAGUAAGAAGUCCUGCACCAGAUGCCAGCACCUUGGAUCCCGGACUUCCCAGUCUCCAGGACCGUGAGAUAGUCAAUUUCUGUUCUUUAUAAAUGACCCUGUCUCAGGUAUUCUGUUAUGGCAGCACCCAACAGACUAAGACACCAGCCUGCCACAUGUGUCCUCCUGGGCCCCCACCAGGGAUGGAGAGUGACGGUGGAACGUGGUCUCCUCACUUCGUGUGACCCAGCUACUUCCCUGGGUAAAGGGCAGCAUCUGUAGUAGGGUGGGGGCAGGGAGGGGAAAUUGGGCAGGGCCAAGGCACCGGGAGAAGAACAGAUGUCUGAGAAAACAUCCUGGGAGUCAACAGGAGGCAGGAGCACGCAUGCGUGAGGCUCCACAUUCCUGGCAGGCUCCAUUGUCUCGUUACACUUCACUUAGGGAGCACAAGUUCAAAGGUAAAAUUCUGAAGAAUUUCAAGAGAGCAAUUAUAGAGUGUUAAACCCUAACCUUCUGGGUGCUUGUCCUGUGCAACUGCACUGGCCCCGCAUGCCCGUGGUACAGGCCCUGCCUCUUCCCUCCUUCCCCUCCUUAACAUCCUGCCUUCCCUCCUUCCUCUCCUUAACAUCUUGCAGUGGCUCACAUUCUUUUUCUUUUCCUCUUUUUUUUUUUUUUUUUUGCAAAAAAAUCCAACUGCUUUAACCUGGCUUUCAGUUUUAGGCCUCCUAACAUACUGUUCUCACUGCCUGAACAUGUUUACGCCCUCCUCAAAUGUCCCUUGGCCUAAGUCUUAUUCAUCAUUGAGAUCUCGAUUUCAGCACCACUUUCUCCAGGAAACAUUCCGAGACUCUUUUGUUUAAAUGCCUCACUUAUUUGGUCCCACAGCACAAAGAUCAAAUGCAGAAGGAACUGCACGUGGAAAGGCCAGCCACAUACAUCACAAAAAGAGGACUGAAGUCAGCACACAGCUUGAAAGCCGGACUACAGGCCUUUCUUCAAGAAUGGCUGGAGUGACCCUGGGGACUUGCUGCAAGAAGCAAGAGGAUUGGGCAAAGGUCAAGAGGCCAUUUGUCAAACAGCACAAGACAUGUAACAGGAUAUGCACAGUGAGACAUGGCGGGGGAGAGCCCCCACGGAGCCCAGGGGAUGUAUGACAUCAUAGUCACAGUCCUACAUCUUCCUCUGUUUCCCCAGCUACCCUGGCUAUCUCUGCAGACAGGAAGAGAGCUGCCAAGUAGGGCUGGAAAGAGACACUCGGCAGGUAGAUCUUGCCGUAACAAGGAGAAGAAACUCAUGGAUUUCACCUAAGACCAGAGAAGGGAACAUUCCCAAGAGACUUGGAGGUUCCAUCUCUCAAGCAACCUGAAAUUAGCAGGGAUUUCUCCUGCGGCUUUGCCAUGAUGUGGGGAAAAGGGAAGUGGUUUUGACGCAAGGGACAGAGGGAGUGUUGGCGGUGGCAGGGGGAGCAGGGGCAGCAGCUCACUUACGGGUUAAAACCACCCUGGAGAGGCCCAGCUCUCUGAAGUUCGACAUCAGAAUAUACAUUCGAGUAAGGGUGGUCAGUUAUUCAAUUUUUUGAGACUCACUUUCCUUGUCUUUAUACAUGAGGUUUAACAAAAUUGUCAAGAAGGUGACAGAAAACAGCAGAGGAAAAAGCUGCAGUAUAGUGGAUACUCCAUAAAUAUUGGUUCCCUUGGCUAUAUUCGUCCCCUCUUUUUCCCAAGUGUAGAGCAACAUGGAUUAAAAUUUAUUUUGUAUUUCUAGAUCUCCAGCAAAUGUAUUUAGAACUGUUCUAUUAAAUUUUCCUGGAAAAUAAAGCAUCCCUUGCAUUGAGGCUAUCUAGGUAAUCUAUUUAACAGCAUCUAAGUCUAGAAAUUCAGAAACGUCUAUA
rnacentral:lncRNA from 1 species